GCAAUACGGCAGCGGCAGACGGGAGAGUAACACGUGGGAACGUACCCUUCAGUUCGGAACAACCCAGGGAAACUUGGGCUAAUACCGAAUACGUCCGUAAGGAGAAAGAUUUAUCGCUGAAGGAUCGGCCCGCGUCUGAUUAGCUAGUUGGUGAGGUAACGGCUCACCAAGGCGACGAUCAGUAGCUGGUCUGAGAGGAUGAUCAGCCUCACUGGGACUGAGACACGGCCCAGACUCCUACGGGAGGCAGCAGUGGGGAAUAUUGGACAAUGGGCGCAAGCCUGAUCCAGCCAUGCCGCGUGGAUGAUGAAGGCCUUAGGG
rnacentral:rRNA from 1 species